rnacentral:rRNA from 1 species
GAUGAACGCUGGCGGCGUGCCUAAUACAUGCAAGUCGAGCGAAUGGAUUAAGAGCUUGCUCUUAUGAAGUUAGCGGCGGACGGGUGAGUAACACGUGGGUAACCUGCCCAUAAGGCUAGGAUAACUCCGGGAAACCGGGGCUAAUACCGGAUAACAUUUUGAACCGAAUGGUUCGAAAUUGAAAGGCGGCUUCGGCUGUCACUUAUGGAUGGACCCGCGUCGCAUUAGCUAGUUGGUGAGGUAACGGUUCAACAAGGAAACGAUGCGUAGCCGACCUGAGAGGGUGAUCGGCCACACUGGGACUGAGACACGGCCCAGACUCCUACGGGAGGCAGCAGUAGGGAAUCUUCCGCAAUGGACGAAAGUCUGACGGAGCAACGCCGCGUGAGUGAUGAAGGCUUUCGGGUCGUAAAACUCUGUUGUUAGGGAAGAACAAGUGCUAGUUGAAUAAGCUGGCACCUUGACGGUACCUAACCAGAAAGCCACGGCUAACUACGUGCCAGCCGCCGCCGUAA